AAGGUGAGUGCGGCGCACAGCUCAGUAACACGUGGCUAACCUGCCCUCAGGACGGGGACACCCCGGGAAGCUGGGGUUAAUCCCCGAUAGGUGAAGAACUCUGGAAUGAAUCUUCGCCCAAAUGGCGCUUACGCUAUGCUCGUGGGCGUUGCCCGAGGAUGGGGCCGCGUCCGAUCAGGUUGUUGGUGAGGCAACGGCUCACCAAGCCUUUUACCGGUGCGGGCCGUGGGAGCGGGAGCCCGGAGAUGGGCACUGAGACAAGGGCCCAGGCCCUACGGGGCGCAGCAGUCGCGAAAACUUUGCAAUACACGAAAGUGUGACAGGGCUAUCCCGAGUGCCAUCCGCUGAGGAAGGCUUUUACCCAGUGUAGAUAGCUGGGGGAAUAAGGAGAGGGCAAGACUGGUGUCAGCCGCCGCGGUAAUACCAGCUCUCCGAGUGGUGUGGAUGUUUAUUGGGCCUAAAGCAUCCGUAGCUGGCUGGGCAAGUC
rnacentral:rRNA from 1 species